UGUUCUUUUCGAGGACAACUGCAGAAUCAUGACACAGACUCUCCAAAGAAAUAGAACAUGCACGGCAAUGGGAAACCUAAAGACUUGCUAACCAGUCUGGUAGUUAGUCCAAUGAAUUUCUCCAAAGAAAUCGAACAUAUACGACUAUGGGAAACCUAAAGGCUUGCAAACUAGUCUGGUAGUUAGUCCAAUGAAAUUAUUGUAGCAGUGUAACCCGUACAUAAUUCCAGGAAGCAGAUAAAAGAGUUUCCGAGUCGUACUUGAAUAACUUCAUCAACGAGAUUGACGUCCAAAACACCUGGAAUAAAACCAGCUCCAAUCCCUUGGAUCUUAUGUGCACCUGAAAAUAAAAUAUCAUAUGCAUGCUGGUCAAAUAACUGAAUGUGCCAAUAACUAAAAGUCAUUCUCCGAAGCAGACUAUAAUCGACGAUCUUCAAACUCUAUAUUAAAAACAAAUAAAGCCUUAUGAUGUUAGCACUGGAAGUAGAAAAUGAUUAACAUGUUAAAAGUUCAUGAAAAAAUAAGAAUAGCAGCAAAACUGUUGUUACUUUGUUCAAAUAUAUGAAUAUUCAAUAACCACAAAUACACCAUGAUCCACAGAAGGACUACAACUAUGUGAAGAUCUACAUGGAAAUUGUACAACUGCAAACUUCCGUCGUGAUGGCAGUUGCUAGUUAGUUCCAACAAGAAACUCAAGUCCAAUUCUUUCAAAUUAUUGAACUGAGACGUAAAAAUAGUUCAUGGUCUGCACCAAAACAUCGUAGGCUCUUCAAGAAGAUAUAACACGAAGUUGAAUCCAAGAUAUCUUCCAGAACAAGACUCUAAAAACAAGAUUUCUGACAUUAGCUAAGUGAGUAUUAUUUAGUCCACAGCAGCAGUGGUUACUCAACUAGUCAGAGAUGUCCAAUUAAAUGCUGGAUCAGGUGAAAUGCGAAAAGAAUUAAUAUAAAUGAUGAAUAUCUAUCUCUGCAACAGGGGAUCCCAAAGCAAGAGUUAACUUUGACACACAAAUGUGUGCAAUGAAGUAUGUAUAGUCUAAGUAUGAAUAUAAGCUGCAAUUCUUUCAGUAAUAACAUUUAAUCUAAUAUUCAAAUGCAGAACUGAAGGAAUACAGGAAAAACAAAUCAAGAAAAAUGUGGACAUCUUCUAACUCACCAGGCCUUCCUCCAGAUAAAACAGCACUUUCAGCUGGUUCCACACCAUAAAGCUU
rnacentral:lncRNA from 1 species